rnacentral:tmRNA from 1 species
GGGGGCGUCACGGCUUCGACGUGAUGUUUUGUGUUUUGAGAGCAUGUCGAGUUUUGUAUGGGAACUCGUAAAAAAACAUUCAAAACAAAAAGUGCAGACAAUAAUGCUGCUGAAAAUGUUGUAUAUGCCUAAUUAAGGCGACAGCAUUUUUCUUGUUAGUAAGAUGUGUCUAUCCAUCAAACUAACUCGUAUUACCCUAGAUAGAACUCUCUUGCAAGAAUUUUUGGUUUUGUAACAAGAGAAAAUCACUAAACCGGCUCUUAUUUAUUACUAUGCUCUUGAGGUAUAAAUGAGAGUAUAUUCAGGAGCUAAACAUGUAGUGCUUAAAAUACUUUGCUUUGCGGACAUGGGUUCGACUCCCAUCGCCUCCACCA